GCCCUUUUAGUCUCUACAAUUAUGACAUGGUAUUCUUUUUGCAGUUCCAGUUGAUGACAGCAGUGCAGCAGUGAUCCCUGAGUUUACUGACUGGGAAAUAACUAAAAGGGAUGAGGAAGAGAUAGAUCGAAUAUGGUUUGAAGAAGCAAGUGAUGCUACUGUUUGGAAGAAAUGGCCCAUAUGUAUUAACAGAGUAGUCCUUUGAAUUUAUCAGAUCAACACUUUCUGAUGAGGUUAUUGAUGCUCUUUUGCAUCUAUUGGUUGCUGAUAAGGAAAAUGUUUUGCACAUCAGCUGCAUAACUAUGACAGGGAUUUUUGAUGGUGAGGUGAACAUCCAUGGACUCCUAAGAAUGCACACUCUGAUGUCAUAUGAUACUGUUAUUGGCGCUAACAAUGAAGGGGGAAACCACUGGACAUUAAUGCUCAUUUCUGAAGUCUCGAUAUGAUGCUGGUCUUGAAAAUAGGAUUUCAGCAGAAUGGACAGUACACAGUCCUGCACAUGCCAGGCAGAUAGAUGGCACUUGUUAUGGAAUCUAUGUUAUUAAAUUUGCAGAAAAUUAUUUAUCUGGGAAGUCUUUGCAGUUUAAUUGGUCACCAAUGGAAUUAUACAUGGCAAGGAAAUACUUGGCUUUAUAUCUGUGGUCAGCAAUUACAACACAAGAAGGAAAUGUUGAUAGAGGAAGGGAAAAGAAAAUAACACAAACAUUAAGAUUCUCCAAAACAAAUUCUAUGUCACAUUUGUAUGAAAUAAGCAAACUUUGUAUCCUAAAUGCAAAGAAUUUCAAUUAAUUAAUUGACAACUUGUAUCAUAGUUUGGAGACCUUUCUGUUGAAAAUGUGUCAGGGUUAAAUCGUAUACAUAUGCAUGCAAAGUGCGUUUACUGGAGUGCGGGUAUUAGUUACCCGCACUCCAGAGCAUGCCCAUUGAUUGGUUCAUUUUUGCCGGGGUUUACAUAUUGUGACGACAUAAAUGUCAUAUUCAGAUGUUCGUUCAUUGGUUCAUUUUUGCCGGGGUUUCAUAUUGUGACAACAGGAAACAACCUUUUAUGAUUGACUAUGAUACAAAAGAGAAAGAACACCAAAACACUCGGCAAUCUGAUUC